UACGAAAAAUUGUAAAAUCUCACCGAGCAACCUGGAAAUCUGAUACCACUUGAUAGAGGCAAAGGUGUCCCGAUGUUUCGAUGAGAUGGUGGCUAUCAUUUUCUGUGGGAGUCGACCUUGACGAUUCGACUAUGAAAGUGCGAGACGUCACGCCUUAGCAAUCGCUAAACCAACUUCCGAGGUUUAUUGACCACGCCGGAGCAUGAUCAACCUGACCACGAGGGCCUGUUUCCUGCAAGCAAACGAAGAACAAGCAAGAAACUAAGAUUGCAAUUUGGAUAUUGCAAAUAUAAGAGGAAAGCUUUAUUAAUGAAGGUGGGGUUCUGUGACGCCUUGGUCUGGUCGUUGAAAACAAACGAAGUACGCGAAGUUGUAGCUAUGGCGAACUUUUGAUCUAAACAAAACCCAAAGUCUAAACGACGCCCUAAGGGCUGUAUAUAUGGAGGAAGAGGAGGGAAUUUCGGGGCCCUUGAGGGAGGGGUCCGAAACCAACCCUAACUCUUGUUUCCCCACACAUACGGACUCUAAAACAGCCUAUACUUAAGUAUUUCGAAAUUACAUGGGCUUGGCCCAAUAAUAAGGUGACGCAGCACCUAGAAUAGCCUAUGGACAAAUAUUAUGAAGUGGCAUCUUGUAUAUUUCGUCCAAGGCUUCAUGCACUCAUUAUGGUGGCUUCAAAGUCCUGGAAUCAUCACUUGUAACUCCGUUCUUGUUCCCCUUGCGCAUGCCAACAUCUCCAUGCUUGAACUUGCUCCAAGGUUCAUCUUUCUUGUCCAUGGUAGGCCCUUCAUUUGUAAGCAAAACAAAUGUAUCCAAUUUAGGAAGCAUCAUAUUCUCAUGAACAUUGGAAUCGUUACCAAGAAACGAAAGUACCUGGUAAUUCAAUUGGCGUGCGCGAGCUCUAGUAAUUGAUCUAGAAUGUAUAACAGCAGGGGAUGUGGGUGUAACAAUGGUAUUGAUGUCCUCAUCAUCCUCCCCUUAUUGAAAUGAAGUCGUCCUCGACGGAAUCUCAUCUUCCUCACCCAAAUAAGGCUUCAAAUCUGCAAUGUUAAAAGUGGGACUAACCCCAAAAUCUACAGGCAGCUCAAGUUUAUAUGCAUUUUCAUUUAUUCUCUCUAACACCUUAAAUGGACCAUCAGCACGUGGCAUUAGCUUUGAUUUGUGCAAAUUAGGAAACCUAUCCUUACGCAAAUGUAACCAAACAAGAUCUCCAGGUGCAAAGUCAACAUGUUUUCUACCCUUAUCUCUAGCAAGUUUAUAUUUAGCAUUCAUAUGCUCAAUGUUUUCCUUAGUUAACUCAUGCAUUUUUAAAAUCAAUUCAGCACGUUCUUUAGCAUCAAAAUUAACCUUCUUCGAAGAUGGAAGAGGCAACAAAUCAAUGGGUGCACAAGGUAGGAAACCAUACACAAUUUCAAAAGGGCACAUCUUAGUAGUAGAAUGCAAUGAACGAUUAUAAGCAAAUUCAAUAUGAGGCAAGCAUUCUUCCCACAUUUUCUUAUUAUUCUUCAAAACAGCCCUAAGCAUAGUAGACAAUGUUCUAUUGACUACUUCAGUUUGUCCAUCAGUUUGGGGGUGACAAGUAGUACUAAAAAGCAGUUUAGUCCCCAACUUAGCCCAUAAACAUCUCCAAAAGUGGCUAAGAAAUUUAGUAUCACGAUCUGAAACAAUAGUAUUUGGCACACCAUGCAAGCGAAUAAUUUGACGAAAGAACAAAUCCGCAACAUUAACAGGGUCAUCGCUUUUAUGACAUGGUAUAAAGUGUGCCAUUUUCGAGAAUCUAUCCACAACAACAAAUAUGCUAUCCCUCCCCUUCUUUGUUCGAGGUAAACCCAAAACAAAGUCCAUAGAUAUAUCCUUCUUUGUAAGCUCAUUGAGAGGUGCAGCAAUGGUGCUAAAAUCUCUCACAAAAUGCCUAUAGAAACCAACGAGUCCAAGAAAACUCCUCACUUGUGUGACCGUUUUGGGCUGCGGCCAACUCUCAAUAGCUUCAAUCUUGGCUUUAUCAACUUCAAUUUCCUGUGGAGUAACAACAUAGCCAAGAAAAGAUACUCGGUCGGUGCAAAAGGUGCACUUCCCAAGGUUACCAAACAAACGUGCAUCAUGUAGAGCAUUAAAAACAUCACGUAAAUGUUCCAAAUGUUCUUCCAAAGAUUUGCUAUAAAUCAGUAUAUCAUCAAAAUAGACUACCACAAAACGUCCAAUGAAAGCACGUAAAACCUCGUUCAUUAGUCUCAUGAAAGUACUAGGUGCAUUAGUUAACCCGAAAGGCAUGACUAACCACUCAUAUAAACAAAACUUAGUUUUAAAUGCUAUUUUCCAUUCAACUCCCAAUUUCAUACGAAUUUGAUGGUAUCCACUACGCAAAUCAACUUUGGAGAAUAUUGUAGAGCCACUCAAUUCAUCAAGCAUAUCAUCUAGCCUAGGAAUAGGAUGACGAUAAUGAAUAGUAAUAUUAUUAAAUGCCUCUACAAUCAACACACAUAUGCAACGUACCAUCCUUUUUAGGCACUAGUAUAAUAGGAACAGCACAAGGACUAAGAGAUUCGCAUAUAUAACCUUUGUCGAGUAGCUCCUGUACUUGACGCAUAAUCUCCUUCGUCUCCUCUGGAUUGGUACGGUAUGGUGCACGGUUGGGUAGCGAUGCACCGGGAAUUAAGUCAAUUUGAUGCUCAAUCCCUCGAAUAGGUAGUAAUCCCGGUGGCACGUCUUGUGGGAAGACGUCAGCGAACUCCUGCAAAAUGUUAGUGACAGCAGGGGGCAAAGAGGAAGGCACAUCCUCGAAUGAAAAUAAUGCCUCUUUGCACACAAAAGCAUAGCAAACAGAUUUGCUAGAAUCUAGCUCAUCAAUAUCAGAUUUGGUGGCAAUAAACAUGCACUUUUCAAUUUAAUUUCUGAAGCAACAGUAGAUGCUUUAUUAUUAGGCUUCAUUUGUUGCUCAAAUUCUUUUGCCACAAUCUGAUUUUCACUCUUAUUUUUCUCCUGUUUUGCUUUAUUAGCUCUAUUAAUAUCAUCUUUCAAAAUGGAUUCAGGAGUCAUAGGAAGCAAAGUAAUAUGGUUAUCCUUAUGAACAAGAGUAUACUGAUUAUUUCUACCAUGGUGUACAGAAUUUUUAUCAAAUUGCCAUGGUCUACCAAGUAAUAAGGAACAUGCUUGCAUGGGUACCACAUCACAAUCAACAUAAUCAGCAUAGGUAGAGAUACUGAAAUGCACACGAACAGUACGUGUUACCUUAACCUUGCCGCUGUUGUUGAACCAUUGGAUGUAGUAAGGAUGUGGAUGUGGUCUUGUGGUGAGAGAUAGCUUCUCCACCAUCUCCAUGCUAGCCAAGUUGUUGCAGCUCCCUCCAUCUAUGAUGACGUGAACAGAACAUUCCUUCACAACUCCCUUUGUAUGGAACAAAUUAUGCCUCUGAUUUUGCUCAGCUUGUGUGACCUGCACACUAAAAACACGUUGAGCAACUAAACAUUCAUACCUGUCAGCAUCUUCAGGAGCCAUGUAUUGUGUCUCAUGAUCAGAAUCAUCCCCACCGUGUUCUUCACGUGUAAUAAGAGCCAAAGUCUCCUCGUCAUAGUCACUAGCGGACUCAUACCCACCAUCCUCAGUAGUAAUCAUCACAUGCUGAGAUUUGCAUUCUCUCGCAAAAUGUCCUCUUCCCUUACAACGACGACAAAUAAUAUCACUUGUGUGCCCUGUUGACGCCAUGGAAGAAGAAGAGCUCUGUGCAGGCCCGGCAGGUGUGCUCUUGGCAGAUAGUGGUGGUUGUGCCUGCUUUCUUGUAUCACAGUUGGAGGUGGCACCUGCAAGAGGUGAUGGUGCAGUGGAAGUAGAUGAUGCACGUGGUGUCCAUGAUGAAGGUCGACCUGCAGAAAAGUUAGUUCGCGCCAAUGCCUGUCGAUCUUGCACUUCACGUUCAGCUUUACAAGCAAGAUGGAAUAAAUGAGUGAUAUUAUUAUAAUCCUUAUAGUCUAGAAUGGUCUGGAUCUCUCUAUUUAAUCCACACAGAAAACGUGCAAGCAUAGCUUCAUUCUCCUCAACAAUACCACAUCUAAUCAAGCCAGUUUGUAAUUCCUGAUAAUAUUCUUCUACCGAAUUUUUUCCUUGUCUUAAGCGCUGCAAUUUUUGAAGUAAUUCACGUUGAUAAUAUGGUGGAACCCAACGAGUAUGCAUAGCAGUUUUCAAAGCAGCCCAAGUAGCUGGAACAGGAUAUAAUCUACAAUGUUUAGACCACCAAACACAUGCAAAACUAGUGAAAGCACAAACAGUAGCAGGAACACGUCUCUCCUCAGGAUAUUGUAAGCAUGUAAAUCGUUGUUCAGUUUCUAACUCCCAAGUAAGAUAUAUAUCAGGAACAUAUCUACCCUCAAGUGGUGGAAUAUUCAAUUUCAGUUUAGGGAGAUGGUCAUGAUCUCGUACCUGAGGGGGAGCCCAAACAUUGCCAUUAUUUGCAUGUGGACGACCUGGUGGUUGUGGUGCUGGUGGUUGCACGUAGUUCUGAUUUUGAUCAAUUUCAUCCUCGUAAUCGCCCACAUAAUCAUCCUCCUCCGCAUCAGUAGCAGGAGCCACAGAAGUAUCAAUGGCAACACCAAUAGUUUGACCAAGCGCAAGAGGGACACGGCUCGCUCGGUGGAGGGCUAUUUCACGACAUGGAGGUAGUCGUUGUUGUUGUUGUAGAGGUGCAUUAGGUGCAGUCGGUGGUGGUGGUGGAAGACGCGCGAGCAAUUCAUUAAACUUGUUAUCGAGCUUUGUUUUCGAACGUCUUCUCCAUGCCAUCUAUCUUCUCCAUGGCCUCGUCAAAUCUGUUUAGCACAUCUUGCACCUGUCCACUCAUGAUUUGCUGAAACUUAUCAUGAAGCUCCUUGUUCGUCAAGUUCUCCCAGUCAGUCUCGUCGGCUUGUGAUCCUGGCAUGGUUAGCAGCAAUAGAAACACACAAGAAUAUGAUCCUACAGACUACUAACAAGUGGUGGUGGUGGCGGGUGUCACAAAUCCGUCAAGCAAAUCUCAAAUUCUUACCAGUUCUUACCCAGCAGCAGGCGGUGAUCGGCACCCGACAUAGUCAAAACUCUCAAAGCUUGGAUAGAGCGAUUACCAGGGAGAGUCAAACGCAUGAUGUAGAUGUAUGUGGAGCUGGGAAGGCUUAUAAUAUGGUAGCAAAAAGGGUCAGCAAUAAUCAAUUCAGAGAUGCAAAGUUGAAUAAAUGCUCAAUGACGGUACUGUGCUGGUCCUAGGCUAGACCGUGCUAGAGACGCGAGCCUAGAACACUAACAAAAUCACGGCGCUGCACGUAAACAAGGGAAAAGCACACUAUGAUUUUUUCGCUCUUUUUAUUGUGCUCUUUUUUUGCGCUCCUCUUUUUUUGUGAAAAUUCACUAUAAUGGCGAGUGUCUCAAAACUCUUACGAGGUCAAACUGACAGUAUGGGCACGAAAUUUUUUUGACUAUUUUUUUCGCAAAUCAGGGCAGCAACGACGAAAAAGUGCGACAAAAAAUCACUAUGAUGGCGAGUGUCUCAAAAGACUCAGAAAAACCUAAAACUAAGAUAGGGAAAAAUAUUUUUGGUCGCCGAAAAUUUGGCCUAAAAACUGCCCGGGGUCUCCAUACUUUUUUUUUCCGAGACCUACUCAGGCAAGGAAACACGAAACAGAAAAUAGAUGGAUCUCAAAAACAAACCUAAUAUGAAAAGAACUCGGAUUGGUGGUGGAUAUAUGGUGGUAGGAUAUGGCAGUGGUGGUGGUAUAUGGUAGCGGUGGUGGUAUAUGGAUACGGAUCGGUGGUGGUAUAUGGAUACGGAUCGGUGGUGGUAUAUGGAUACGGAUUCAGAGUGGUGGCGGAUAAGCAGUGGUGGUAGAUGGCAAGGCGAUGAUGAUGGUGCGGCGGCGGCGUGACAACUUAUGACCAGAACUCGAAACUCUAAAAGACUAGACUCUAAGACCAGCAACUUGACACGACGAUGCAACCGCAAAUUCAACAAAGAAAAAAUCCUAAAAAGAUUAUGCAAAGGCUCAGAUUGGUUCGGAUAUGAUGAACUAACCCUAAUUUUUUUGUGGCUUUUGUGUGGAUUGUAGGUAUGAAGAACAGACUCGAUCUAAACUACGAAAAACUGUAAAGUCUCACUGAGCAACCUGGAAAUUUGAUACCACUUGAUAGAGGCAAAGGUGUCCCGAUGUUUCGAUGAGAUGGUGGCUAUCGUUUUCUGUGGGAGUCGACCUUGACGAUCCGACUACGAACGUGCAAGACGUCGCGCCUUAGCAAUAGCUAAACCAACUUCCGAGGGUUAUUGACCACGCCGGAGCACGAUCAACCUGACCACGAGGGCCUGUUUCCUGCGAGCAAACG
rnacentral:lncRNA from 1 species